CAAUAGCGUAUAUUAAAGUUGUUGCGGUUAAAAAGCUCAUAGUUGGAUCUCGGCAGGCAGGGGGUGGUUCGCUCUUAGCGCUACUGCCCCAUUUGCCUGUGUGAUUGGCGGAGGUUUCGGGGUGCUCUUCGUUGAGUGACCCGGGGCGCCGUCAGGUUUACUUUGAAAAAAUUAGAGUGCUCAAAGCAGGCUUUUCACGCUUGAAUAUUCGUGCAUGGAAUAAUGGAAUAGGAACUCGUUUCUAUUUUGUUGGUUUUCGGGAAUCGAGUUAAUGAUUAAUAGGGACAAUUGGGGGCAUUAGUAUUCAGACGACAGAGGUGAAAUUCUUGGACCGUCUGAAGACUAACUACUGCGAAAGCAUUUGCCAAGAGUGUUUUCAUUAA
rnacentral:rRNA from 1 species